AGGGCACUACCAGGAGUGGAUCCUGCGGCUCAAUUUGACUCAACACGGGAAAGCUCACCUGGUCCGGACACUGGAAGGAUUGACAGAUUAAGAGCUCUUUCUUGAUUCAGUGGGUGGUGGUGCAUGGCCGUUCUUAGUUGGUGGAGCGAUUUGUCUGGUUAAUUCCGAUAACGAACGAGACUCUAGCCUACUAAAUAGGUGUUCCGAUCCCAUCAGUCGGACGCUCUUCUUAGAGGGACAAGCGGCGUUUAGCCGCACGAGACAGAGCAAUAACAGGUCUGUGAUGCCCUUAGAUGUCCGGGGCCGCACGCGCGCUACACUGAAGGAACCAGCGCGUGUCCCUGUCCGGAAGGACUGGGUAAUCCGUUGAACCUCCUUCGUGAUAGGGAUAGGGGCUUGUAAUUGUUCCCCUUGAACGAGGAAUUCCCAGUAAGCGUGAAUCAUCAGUUCACGUUGAUUACGUCCCUGGCCUUUGUACACACCGCCCGUCGCUACUACUGAUUGGAUGGUUUAGUGAGG
rnacentral:rRNA from 1 species